rnacentral:rRNA from 1 species
AUUGAACGCUGGCGGCAGGCCUAACACAUGCAAGUCGGACGAGUGGCGGACGGGGGAGGAAUGUCAGGGAAACUUCCCGAGGGAGGGGGAUAACUACUGGAAACGGUAGGUAAUACCGCAUAGCAUCGGGUGCGCCCAAAUGGGGUUAGCUAGUAGGUGGGGGAACGGCUCACCUAGGCGACGAUCCCUAGCGGGUCUGAGAGGAUGACCAGCCACACUGGAACUGAGACACGGUCCAGACUCCUACGGGAGGCAGCAGUGGGGAAUAUUGCACAAUGGGCGCAAGCCUGAUGCAGCCAUGCCGCGUGUAUGAAGAAGGCCUUCGGGUUGUAAAGUACUUUCAGCGGGGAGGCGGUACUCGCAGAAGAAGCACCGGCUAACUCCGUGCCAGCAGCCGCGGUAAUAC